UACGGAGGGUGCAAGCGUUAUCCGGAUUUACUGGGUUUAAAGGGUGCGUAGGUGGGUUGGUAAGUCAGUGGUGAAAUCUUCGAGCUUAACUCGGAAACUGCCAUUGAUACUAUCAAUCUUGAAUACUUUGGAGGUAAGCGGAAUAUGUCAUGUAGCGGUGAAAUGCUUAGAUAUGACAUAGAACACCAAUUGCGAAGGCAGCUUGCUACACAGUUAUUGACACUGAGGCACGAAAGCGUGGGGAUCAAACAGG
rnacentral:rRNA from 1 species